rnacentral:rRNA from 1 species
GGAGAACGGGGGCGGCGAUGUCUAUACAUGCAGUCGUACGCUUCUUUUUCCACCGGAGCUUGCUCCACCGGAAAAAGAGGAGUGGCGAACGGGUGAGUAACACGUGGGUAACCUGCCCAUCAGAAGGGGAUAACACUUGGAAACAGGUGCUAAUACCGUAUAACAAUCGAAACCGCAUGGUUUUGAUUUGAAAGGCGCUUUCGGGUGUCGCUGAUGGAUGGACCCGCGGUGCAUUAGCUAGUUGGUGAGGUAACGGCUCACCAAGGCCACGAUGCAUAGCCGACCUGAGAGGGUGAUCGGCCACAUUGGGACUGAGACACGGCCCAAACUCCUACGGGAGGCAGCAGUAGGGAAUCUUCGGCAAUGGACGAAAGUCUGACCGAGCAACGCCGCGUGAGUGAAGAAGGUUUUCGGAUCGUAAAACUCUGUUGUUAGAGAAGAAUAAGGAUGAAAGUAACUGUUCAUCCCUUGACGGUAUCUAACCAGAAAGCCACGGCUAACUACGUGCCAGCAGCCGCGGUAAUACGUAGGUGGCAAGCGUUGUCCGGAUUUAUUGGGCGUAAAGCGAGCGCAGGCGGUUUCUUAAUUCUGAUGUGAAACCCCCGGCUCACCGGGGGAGGGUCAUUGGAAAUGGGAAAAUUGAGGAAAAAAAGAAAAGGAAUUCCUG